UGCGAACGCUGGCGGCAGGCCUAACACAUGCAAGUCGAACGGUCCUUCGGGACAGUGGCGGACGGGUGAGUAACGCGUGGGAACGUGCCCUUAGGUUCGGAACAACUCAGGGAAACUUGAGCUAAUACCGAAUGUGCCCUACGGGGGAAAGAUUUAUCGCCUUUGGAGCGGCCCGCGUCUGAUUAGCUAGUUGGUGAGGUAAAGGCUCACCAAGGCUACGAUCAGUAGCUGGUCUGAGAGGAUGAUCAGCCACACUGGGACUGAGACACGGCCCAGACUCCUACGGGAGGCAGCAGUGGGGAAUCUUGCGCAAUGGGCGGAAGCCUGACGCAGCCAUGCCGCGUGAAUGAUGAAGGUCUUAGGAUUGUAAAAUUCUUUCACCGGGACGAUAAUGACGGUACCCGGAGAAGAAGCCCCGGCUAACUUCGUGCCAGCAGCCGCGGUAAUACGAAGGGGGCUAGCGUUGCUCGGAAUUACUGGGCGUAAAGGGCGCGGUAGGCGGACAGUUU
rnacentral:rRNA from 1 species